UACGAAGGGGGCUAGCGUUGUUCGGAAUUACUGGGCGUAAAGCGCACGUAGGCGGACUAUUAAGUCAGGGGUGAAAUCCCGGGGCUCAACCCCGGAACUGCCUUUGAUACUGGUAGUCUCGAGUCCGGAAGAGGUGAGUGGAAUUCCGAGUGUAGAGGUGAAAUUCGUAGAUAUUGGGAAGAACACCGGUGGCGAAGGCGGCGCUCUGGACCGAGACUGACGCUGAGGCGCGAAAGCGUGGGGAGCAAACAGG
rnacentral:rRNA from 1 species